rnacentral:lncRNA from 1 species
GCCUUCGUAACCCAGAAGGCGGUUGGUUCUUCGGAGGAAGCAACAAAACCCUCAGCAGGGGAGUAGCGCACGAGACAGGAAGCGAUGUUAUCGUUGAGAGAAAGUUCGAGGUGAAGGUCCAGCUCGGAUCCCUCGGGAGCGCUGCACAUCCAUCUGCCGCCGCCUCCACGAAUCAGUAUGAUACCUUUGCGAUUUGUUUUUUCUUUCUUCUUUGUUUGCUUGCUCGAUUGAUCCAGCUGCGAACAAUACAUGUGUGGGAUCUUCGUGUUCUUUUCCGUUGCAUUGAUAUUGAGCAUUAGAGAAGGAAGAAUUACAGGACCCAGAGAUUGCAAAGCAUAAGAACUUUCAUUAGGUGUAGGAAUCAGGAAAAAGGUUCCUUUUUUAAAGGAUUGGACCUGCUCCAGCAGAAGGCAGACCUUAUUUGGAGGAUUGAACGACAAAGGAUGAGGAAAUUUUACCUAUAAGUUAAUCAAUUGAAAACAUUAGUUAUUAGAGCAUGUAGAACCAGAUAUAGUUGUAGCAUGUGAGGUUAAGAGUAUGUAAUCUCAGUAAAUCCUUAAAAGAGUUUCCUCAAAUCUCAGUAAAUCCUUAAAAGAGUUUCCUCAAUAUAUUGGAUCUGGAUAGAGAAGAAGCAUUCAUUCAGUAUGACAACUAUGAUAGGAUCAUUCUUUUGUUGGAUUUCGAUCCAUAUUUUAAAAGGGAUAUUUACAUUAGUCAUCACCAACAACCAUGCAGUGGAUUCAUGGUCUUCAAGAAUGAUACCCAAGUCUCGGUGCCCAAGCAUUCAGAUAAGCUGAAGCGUGGAGAACAGAGCCAAAAGAUGUGAAAAAGUAGCAUUUACAUUAUAUGUAGGAGUGACUGUGGUAAAUCAUCAAAUUUGAAGUCAGAGCCUUUUCACAAUUUGCCUGCUCUAAACUAAGCCUUCCUGCAAAGUCGAUGGCAUAUUGAUAGGAACAAUAGUUUAUCCACUAGCAUAAAGCUGCUUCCUAUAGAAAGUUUUGAAUUGUUGAUGUGAACUGUGUGUAAGAACACUGAAUUUGACACUAAAAAUUCAGUUUCACUGCCUUCAUUUGAGAAACUCUAUUUGGUUUCUUACUGAUUCCAAGCUCAUGACAGUACGGAAGCAAUGAAUGAGGGGGCACAGAAAAAGCUACAUCGAGGACAUUUGGUUUCUUACUGAUAGAUUUUUCUGAAGUUAAAAGAAUCUUGAUGGUCGAUUAGCUUUUAGGAUGAGUUUUAGGAUCAAUUUGCAACAGAACUUAUUGGUCAUUCUCAUACUCUGUCUACUGGGAGUCUAUCAAAGAAGAAAAAAUGCACAUCUAUGAAUGAAUAUAUGCUGUUCAGGAGAUAGUUUGACAAGCUAAUACUGAAAUUGCAAGAAGUCAUCAAGUGUGUUAUUGGCAAUUCUAAGAGCGAUAAGAACGUGCAAAGCAAGCUUAAAUAUAGUUGUUUAUAGCAACUGAUCAUAAAUCUAUCCAUAUUUUCCAUGGAAAUGUAAAUAGAUUUAAGCAUCUGUCUCUGUGUCCUCACCAAAACAUAAGUUUAAUAUUUUAGGCAAUGAAACAUUAGGCUUUAUCCAAUAUCAGGGACAGUGAAGUAUUCCUCAUCAUCAGAUAUCUCAAGCCUAGGCUUCUUGAAUGUUGUGCCAUGUUUGUUAGCCCUGUGGAAACCUGUGUUGCUUGCUUGUGAUGUAGGGAGUUCAGGAACUUGAGCUGCUGCUUGGGCACCCUUCGGCGUUUCAUCAUGGAAAAGACCAAUGUCUGCAAACCAUUCCAACUCUCCAAAUCCAACAGGAGACUCCUGGAACAGGUUGGAUCAGAGCAUGACCAUCUUAUGUGAACUACUUUAAAUAGAAGUAAAUCGACAUAUCAUACCUUUUCACCAAUUUCUUGGUCUGAAAGCUGAAGGAACUCAUCAACAGCCCAUGCAGAAUGCAUGAAUGAUGGUGUGCUCUGUUGUGUUGCAGGAACUUUUGUUGCAAUCAAGGCCGGUCCAUGGCGUGGUGGUUCGGUGUUGUCCUUUAGGUCCUUGUUGCACAUCUUACUUACGGCCACACGGAUUCCAGUAGCUAAAUAACGCUGGUGGUUGCCGGAAAGGGUACCAGCGACAUGAACAG